GCAUAUCAAUAAGCGGAGGAAAAGAACCAACAGGGAUUGCCUCAGUAACGGCGAGUGAAGCGGCAAGAGCUCAAAUUUGAAAGCUGGCCCCCUCGGGGUCCGCAUUGUAAUUUGCAGAGGAUGCUUCGGGAGUGGCCCCCAUCUAAGUGCCCUGGAACGGGCCGUCAUAGAGGGUGAGAAUCCCGUCUGGGAUGGGGUGCCCACGCCCGUGUGAAGCUCCUUCGACGAGUCGAGUUGUUUGGGAAUGCAGCUCUAAAUGGGUGGUAAAUUUCAUCUAAAGCUAAAUACUGGCCGGAGACCGAUAGCGCACAAGUAGAGUGAUCGAAAGAUGAAAAGCACUUUGAAAAGAGAGUUAAACAGCACGUGAAAUUGUUGAAAGGGAAGCGCUUGCGACCAGACUCGCCCACGGGGUUCAGCCGGCAUUCGUGCCGGUGUACUUCCCCGCGGGCGGGCCAGCGUCGGUUUGGGCGGCCGGUCAAAGGCCCUCGGAAUGUAACGCCCCCCGGGGCGUCUUAUAGCCGAGGGUGCCAUGCGGCCAGCCCGGACCGAGGAACGCGCUUCGGCUCGGACGCUGGCAUAAUGGUCGUAAGCGACCCGUCUUGAAACACGGACCAAGGAGUCUAACAUCUACGCGAGUGUUCGGGUGUCAAACCCGUGCGCGCAGUGAAAGCGAACGGAGGUGGGAACCCCUCGGGGCGCACCAUCGACCGAUCCUGAUGUCUUCGGAUGGAUUUGAGUAAGAGCGUAGCUGUUGGGACCCGAAAGAUGGUGAACUAUGCCUGAAUAGGGCGAAGCCAGAGGAAACUCUGGUGGAGGCUCGCAGCGGUUCUGACGUGCAAAUCGAUCGUCAAAUUUGGGUAUAGGGGCGAAAGACUAAUCGAACCAUCUAGUAGCUGGUCUGC
rnacentral:rRNA from 1 species